CAUGCUCCAGUGCUGGUCAUGCUCCAGUGCUCCAGUGCUGGUCAUGCUGCUGUGCUCCAGUGCUCCAGUGCUGCAGUGCUGGUCAUGCUGCUGGUCAUGCUCCAGUGCUGCAGUGCUGGUCAUGCUCCAGUGCUGGUCAUGCUGUGCUUCUCUUUCAGUGACUCUGUCUGUCGCUCAUCAGCACACAGCAGAAUGCACCAGGGAGAAGCUGCUGAGGCCUGACCCAUGGUGGGGUGGGGUGUGGGUUAGGGUUAUACCUGCUCUGGGCAGGUAUUUAUCUACCCUAGGGAGUGGGGGAAAAUCAAAUCAAAUUUCCUUAUAGUUUACACAUAACCGUCAUGCGAUUUGUGUCAAUCAAAAGAUAACACUACCUCAAAAUAUAAUUAUUAUUAUUAAUUUAUUUUGCACGAAAAUUCAGAGACUCGAGAGAAGUGAAACACCUCACCCCCCGCCCCCCUUCACCCUCAUCCUCGCCCCACUCCCUGCCCCCUGGCUGGCUUGGGAGGUAUUUUAGGAGCUGAGGGGUCAGUGCAGAUGGCAAAGGUCACACUGCCCACCCUCCCCCUGCCACUGACUCAGCACCACGCUGCAGCAGAUCCUCCCUACACACUUUCCCUCUGACCUAAGGUGUGUGUGUGUGUGUAUAGUGUGUGUGUGUGUGUGUGUGUGUGUGUGCGUGCGCAGGGGGUUCAUAUGGGAGUGCUGCAGCUGUUCAGUUUGACCCUGAAACAUGCACCACUUUCUCUGAAUGUGAUUUGUUGAUUUAUUGUUAAAAUACUUUUGCUGUGUUGACAUUUAUUACUGUCACCAUGGAAAUUACUAUUCUGUCGCUAAGCUACACUCCUCACCCAAAACCCGAGGGGGCGUGUCUUACUUCUUGGGCAGCGAGUCGGAGUGUAAGAAUGAGCAGGCCUUUCUCCAUGGGGGGGUCUGAACUGCACCACUGGGAUGACCGAAGGGGGGGGGGGGGGUCAAGCAGGGGGUGUGGUGCAGUGCAAAUAUUGAGGGGGUAUUAAUUGGGUAGUUCAGUUUCUGGAGUUUUCUUUUAAUAUUGUUUCGUGUUCUGAUUGGUCCAGGCUGUAUUUGUGCCAUUGAGGAUAAGCUGCUUCAUCUUUAAAUAGUUUGUCAGCGUAGCUGAAAUGCUCGUCUGUUUUAUAACCACAGCUACAGUUUCAGUUUGCCAGUAGCUUGGCUAACAUUAGACCUGCAUGAACACUGGAACGAGCCUGUGCCAAUGAUGGACUGAGAAGGGAACAAAUACAGGUACAAAAUAACAUUUUAAAAUUAUGAAUAAAUGCUAGAAGAUGAAUGUGUUCAUUCGUAUAGCCUGUGAAAACACAAGGAUGCUGUACAACCUGCUUUGGAGGUAUUAGAAAUGUGUUUUUUUGCUUUACACCAAAUGUCUGUUGAUGCCCCUUUAGUAGCCAGUGUAAAGCUGUGGUCAACAGAAAUCUUUGUGUCUAAAUUAUUCUAAUAUGGCGCACCAAACGAUCUGGGGCCAAUCAAAAACAUGAAGUGAUAUUUCUCUUAAAACUCCAGAAAAUGAACUGUCCCUUUAAUUGGGGUGGUAAUGGUGCACCUCCUGUGGUGGGCAGCAGAGGGCAGUAGAGACAGCAGGGUUUCUCCAUCUGUGAUUUUUUUUCCUUUUCUGUGUAACUGUACAAACUGCGGAAGGCUUUCUACACUAUUCCAUAAAUAAAGUUUUAAAUGUACAGUC